UUAAGGCCUACUUUGGAGACUUAUUAGAAAUACUUUGUAAGGCUGUCGUUGUAGGCUCAGCUGCAGCUGGUAUGUCUGCGGGGGUCACUGGAGCUGUGGCCACUGUUGGAGGAACAAUGGGAUGGCUGCUGUCAUCCAUUUGUGACCAAAAUGAAACCCACUAAAGAUUUAC